UACGUAGGGUGCGAGCGUUGUCCGGAAUUAUUGGGCGUAAAGAGCUUGUAGGCGGUUUGUCGCGUCUGCCGUGAAAAUCCGGGGCUCAACCCCGGACUUGCGGUGGGUACGGGCAGACUAGAGUGUGGUAGGGGAGACUGGAAUUCCUGGUGUAGCGGUGAAAUGCGCAGAUAUCAGGAGGAACACCGGUGGCGAAGGCGGGUCUCUGGGCCGAUACUGACGCUGAGGAGCGAAAGCAUGGGUAGCGAACAGG
rnacentral:rRNA from 1 species